UACGUAGGGUGCAAGCGUUGUCCGGAAUUAUUGGGCGUAAAGAGCUCGUAGGCGGUUUGUCGCGUCUGCUGUGAAAACUCGGGGCUCAACCCCCAGCCUGCAGUGGGUACGGGCAGACUAGAGUGCGGUAGGGGAGAUUGGAAUUCCUGGUGUAGCGGUGGAGUGCGCAGAUAUCAGGAGGAACACCGAUGGCGAAGGCAGAUCUCUGGGCCGUAACUGACGCUGAGGAGCGAAAGCAUGGGGAGCGAACAGG
rnacentral:rRNA from 1 species